GAACGCUGGCGGCAGGCCUAACACAUGCAAGUCGAGCGGUAGAGAGGUGCUUGCAUCUCUUGAGAGCGGCGGACGGGUGAGUAAUGCCUAGGAAUCUGCCUAGUGGUGGGGGGAUAACGUUCGGAAACGGACGCUAAUACCGCAUACGUCCUACGGGAGAAAGCGGGGGAUCUUCGGACCUCGCGCCAUUAGAUGAGCCUAGGUCGGAUUAGCUAGUUGGUGAGGUAAUGGCUCACCAAGGCGACGAUCCGUAACUGGUCUGAGAGGAUGAUCAGUCACACUGGGACUGAGACACGGCCCAGACUCCUACGGGAGGCAGCAGUGGGGAAUUUUGGACAAUGGGCGCAAGCCUGAUCCAGCAAUGCCGCGUGCAGGAUGAAGGCCCUCGGGUUGUAAACUGCUUUUGUACGGAACGAAAAGGUUUCUAUUAAUACUAGGAGCUCAUGACGGUACCGUAAGAAUAAGCACCGGCUAACUACGUG
rnacentral:rRNA from 1 species